rnacentral:tRNA from 1 species
AAGAUUUUAAGUUAAAUAAACUAAUAUCCUUCAAAGCUAUAAAUAAAGAUUAUAUCUUUAAGUCUUA